AUUGAACGCUGGCGGCAGGCCUAACACAUGCAAGUCGAGCGGAGCGGCGAACGGGUGAGUAAUGCCUAGGAAUCUGCCUGGUGGUGGGGGAUAACGUCCGGCAACGGGCGCUAAUACCGCAUACUAUCAGAUGAGCCUAGGUUGGUUUAGCUGGUUGGUGGGGUAAAGGCCUACCAAGGGGACGAUCCGUAACUGGUCUGAGAGGAGGAUCAGUCACACGUGAACGGAGACACGGGCCAGACUCCUACGGGAGGCAGCAGGGGGGAAUAUUAGGCAAUGGGCGAAAGCCUGAUCCAGCCACGCCGCGUGUGUGAAGAAGGUCUUCGGAUUGUAAAGCACUUUAAGUUGGGGUGCGGUACCAACAGAGUAAGCACCGGCUAACUACGUGCCAGAAGCCGCGGUAAUAC
rnacentral:rRNA from 1 species